AGAGAGAAAGAAGAAAGAAGAGGGAAAGAAGAUUAGGGUUUUGAGGAAGGGGGAGGAGAUCGGAUUAGAACCGACGCCGGAGAUCCGAGUCCCCAAUCUAAAGCGUCAAAUAGUCCGAGGCAAGGUGCUCUCACGAAUCGCACCUUCCUAUUUCGACAAAAUGUUCAAGAACUUCAGCGCUAUCUGGUUAAGUUCUGGAGUGAAGGCGGCCAAGAUCGGCGUUCGAAUCGGAGUCUCAAGAUAACGUGAUUUUCGGACCUGUGAAGAAAAUUCCAGAGUUGUUGGAAUCCAUUUCGUCAAGAAAACUCGAACUCGGGAAGGCACGCGUCAACCAAGUAAGUAGCCAUUUAGAUUUCCACGAGCAGUACUUGUAGGAACCGCUAGGAACAAGCAUGCAUGCUACCACCUAUGAAAUUAGCUAGUCGAACUUAGCGUGUUAUUAUAGAAACUGCGAAUAUAAGAUGAUUAUGGAAAGCUAGAUACAAAAUGUGUAUUAAAUCUGUUUUGGUUGAGACUCUGAUAAUGUAUGUAUGCAUGAGGAGGUUGGGAAACUUGUGAAAUCUGCGCUCCGGGUAAAGAUGGACGUUAUCUUCCCGUU